UGAAGAGAUGGCUGAGUGGUUGAAAGCGAUAGAUUGUAAAUCUAUUUAUAUAUAAUAGUCGUAGGUUCAAAUCCUACUCUCUUCAA
rnacentral:tRNA from 1 species